rnacentral:rRNA from 1 species
UACGUAGGCCGCGAGCGUUGUUCGGAAUUACUGGGCGUAAAGCGUGUGUAGGCGGUGCUCUAAGUUCGGUGUGAAAUCUCCUGGCUCAACUGGGAGGGUGCGCCGGAAACUGGAGUGCUUGAGCGUGGGAGAGGAAAGCGGAAUUCCUGGUGUAGCGGUGAAAUGCGUAGAUAUCAGGAGGAACACCUGUGGUGUAGACGGCUUCCUGGGCCAGCACCGACGUUCAGGCACGAAAGCGUGGGGAGCAAACAGG